ACUCGUUAGGGCGAGUAUAAAAUAGGCCUUUAGGCCCUAAGCGGCUCUCCAACUGGGAGGCGGGGUA
rnacentral:ribozyme from 1 species